AGUGGAGUUUGCGCGGCGGUCUGCGCCCUGGUCUUCAAAACCAGUGAAGCCCUUUUAAAGGUGCUUGGAGUUCGACCCUUCACUCCACUGCCA
rnacentral:tRNA from 1 species